GCCAGUGUAGCUCAGUGCUUGAGCACUGGACUUCUGAACCAGGAGGUCACGGUUCGAUUCCCUGUUAAGGCA
rfam:Myotis brandtii contig297600, whole genome shotgun sequence.